rnacentral:rRNA from 1 species
UGCGUAGGCGGCUUCGUGUGUCGGAGGUGAAAUACAGCGGCUCAACCGUUAGACUGCCCCCGAAACUGCGAGGCUUGAGUCCGUGAGAGGUUGGUGGAAUUCCUGGUGUAACGGUGAAAUGUGCAGAUAUCAGGAAGAACACCCGUGGCGAAGGCGGCCAACUGGCACGGUACUGACGCUGAGGCACGAAAGCUAGGGUAUCGAACG